rnacentral:rRNA from 1 species
GCAAGUCGAACGAUGAAGGGGGAGCUUGCUCCUCUGGAUUAGUGGCGAACGGGUGAGUAACACGUGAGCAAUCUGCCCCUGACUCUGGGAUAAGCGCUGGAAACGGCGUCUAAUACCGGAUACGAGCCGAGCAGGCAUCUGCAUCGGUUGGAAAGAACUUCGGUCAGGGAUGAGCUCGCGGCCUAUCAGCUAGUUGGUGAGGUAAUGGCUCACCAAGGCGACGACGGGUAGCCGGCCUGAGAGGGUGACCGGCCACACUGGGACUGAGACACGGCCCAGACUCCUACGGGAGGCAGCAGUGGGGAAUAUUGCACAAUGGGCGCAAGCCUGAUGCAGCAACGCCGCGUGAGGGACGAAGGCCUUCGGGUUGUAAACCUCUUUUAGCAGGGAAGAAGCGAGAGUGACGGUACCUGCAGAAAAAGCACCGGCUAACUACGUGCCAGCAGCCGCGGUAAUACGUAGGGUGCGAGCGUUAUCCGGAAUUAUUGGGCGUAAAGAGCUCGUAGGCGGUCUGUCGCGUCUGCUGUGAAAACCCGAGGCUCAACCUCGGGCUUGCAGUGGGUACGGGCAGACUAGAGUGCGGUAGGGGAGAUUGGAAUUCCUGGUGUAGCGGUGGAAUGCGCAGAUAUCAGGAGGAACACCGAUGGCGAAGGCAGAUCUCUGGGCCGUUACUGACGCUGAGGAGCGAAAGCGUGGGGAGCAAACAGGCUUAGAUACCCUGGUAGUC